CAUGCGAAUCUCGAAAGCCUAUCUCAGUUCGGAUUGGAGGCUGAAACCCGCCUCCAUGAAGUUGGAUUCGCUAGUAAUCGCGCAUCAGCCAUGGCGCGGUGAAUACGUUCCCGGGCCUUGUACACACCGCCCGUCAAGCCAUGGGAGCCGGGGUGCCUGAAGUUCGUUACCGCAAGGAUCGACCUAGGGCAAAACUGGUGACUGGGGCUAAGUCGUAACAAGGUAGC
rnacentral:rRNA from 1 species